AUGGAUAAGGACGAGAAUGAGGACAUGGACACCGAUCCGCUCAAGCGACGCAGUACGAGCGUGACAGAUGACUUCGACAUGACCUCUCACCCCUCGGUGACGUCGUCUAUCGUGUACGACAGAGACUCCGUCUUCUCGAGGUCCGUACAAGCCGUCCGCUCGGAAACGGAGCAGCGUCCACCGUACAAGUCCGUCGACCCUCUCUUCAAAGUACCUCGUAACGUUACCUUCUGGCGGAGUAAGUCGCAAGGCGGACAGUUUUACAGGAAGACUGACAACGAGGUGCUUUGCAUCUGCUACACCGAAGCCUACGAUUUCUUGGCCGCGGGACUGGCGAACGGACUCUUGAAGUUCUACAGGCUCGCGACCGGCGAGGACGCGUUGACCCUGUGCGACGCCGAGAUGAUGCAGAACCCGGCGCCGACCACUGCCGUCAAGCACCGGCCGGUGCACGACUCGCACCCGAUCACGCACACCGUAAUAGCGACUUAUGCCAACGGUUGCGUCAAAUGCUGGCAUUACCCGACGGCGCAAUGCCUCUACACGAUACGCGAGGACCGCCAGACUCUUGGGCUGGCUUAUCAUCCGGUGCUGCCGAAGUUCGUCACCGUUGGCGACGACACGACUUUGCGUUUGUACGACGAGGAGACCAAGAGACGAGAGAGGGUAUUUCGCGCAAGCGACUCUACGGAUGUGAUGGACGGCCACAAGUCCCGGGUCUUCAGCGCUCGCUUUAAACCAGGCUCUGCUCACGAGUUGAUAAGCGGCGGUUGGGACGACACCGUCCAAUUCUGGGAUACCAGGCAAGCUCAUUCCCUCAGGUAUAUAUCGGGUGUGCACAUGUGCGGGGAUGGUCUGGAUAUCAGCAGGAACGGAAGAGAGAUCCUCACUUGCGCCUGGCAGAAGAACGACCCUCUGCAGCUGUGGGACUACGGUAGCGGCAAGCUGAUCGGCAGCUUGGAACCCGACAGUUACCCCUCUCUGCUGUACGUCGGGAAAUACGUGUCGAACAUAUUCGUCGCGUGCGGUGGCUGCGACAUCGAUCUCUUCAGAAUCGUCGAUUUGCGCUCGCACUCGGUGAGUCUCACAGCACUUCACGCGUCGCUCCGCUGUGCAGCGCAUGGUGGCCUUUGAAGUGUCAACUUCAAGCGGCUUUGAGGCUUCAAAGGUAACGGGGAGUUUUUGAGAUCCCGGAUAUUUAGUUCCAAGAAGAGGUGUGAUUAUACUCCACAGAGAGAGAGAGAGAGAGAGAGAGAGAGAGAGAAAGAGAGAGGGAGAGCUUCAAUUCGCAAUCCGUCGUGACUCGAGAACUGUGCCGUUAAAAUUCGUCAGAGGACUCUGUCGUUACAAUCGGAGCGACAUUAAAAAUAGACGACCGUUCUCAUUCUGACAGAUGCUAAUCUCUCAUCUUGCUAGGGCCCCGGUUGUUCCAACUUCUUGGUGAGUUAACUGAUAAUAAAAUCACAUGUUUAUCUUUGUUUCUCCUUCGAAAUUUUAGACGAAGACAGACAUGACUUAACUAUCAGUUAACUUACCAAGGAGUUGGAACAACCUGCCCCUAGACUCUUCUAACAUCGCAUGGAACCCAUAUUUAUCUAACCAUAUGCUGCUUGCUGCGGCAGACUAUGGCCAUGAUGAGGCACAUGAGAGGCGGAGUGUACAGUUUGGACGUCGGUCCGUACCGAUCGAAGUACUCCAGGCGAAUGAGAGGCCCCGAUACGCCCUAUCUUCCGAAGCUCGCUUUCUGCGCCGGAUCGACAAUUUUUGAGGUAGACGCCCAAUUCGAGUGACCGCACUCAUUCUACAACUUAUGCAAAAGUAAAUCAUUCGCACGGAUGAGAACGUAUCAUGUGACUACACGACACUCGUGAAUAUCCAAUUGUCACUCAACGCGUUGUAGACAAUUGUCUCUCUUUCUCUCUCUCUCUCUCUCUCUCUCUGCGAGAAAAUGCCCGUGACAUAACGAGAGCGCUCUCCCGAGAGAAUUUUUCCGCGACACGCGAUGCACUCGGCGAUCGCUCUUCCGUCCGCCAUUUCAUCUUUUUCCACGCAGCUCUCUCUCUCUCUCUUUUCCACGGGGCAUUUUCUUCUUAACAAUAUGCUAAUUCAUGGUGUAACGUUGCCAUUGUGUGGCAAAUGACAGCGAGCAUAAAAUAAAGUCAAACAAAAUCAAGACGAGCGAGGA